UGUUAAUUGUCCUUUUGUUGUUUCUCCUUUUCUGGUUUUCUUGUAUGUUCUGUCUUCUUUUGGGUGAUUUUUAUUUCUCUUUCUGUUUUGCCAUUUGGUAGGGCCAUUACUCUAAAGCAUCCUUGGGUCGGUGAAAAGUGCUAUAUAAAUUAAACUACUUGUCACACUGCAAAAAUUGUACAGGAGUGAUUUGAGGAAUAUGACAGAGUUCAAAGUGUGGAUUUAGCCUUCAAAUUCCGCAAAUCUCAAUCCAAUCAAGCAUCUUUGAGAUGUGCUGGAUAAAGUCUGAGUCACAGAAACCCCACCUCGCAACUUGCAGGACUUAAAGGAUCUGCUGCCAGCAUCUUGGUGCUGGAUACCACGGCACCUUCAGAGGUCUUGUUCAGUCUAUGUGUCAAAAGAUUAGAGCUGUUUUGGCAGCACAAGGGGGGACCUAUACAAUAUUAGACAGGUGGUUUUAAUGUUAUAGCUGAUCAGUGUAUAAUGCUCCUUUUUUACUGAUGGAUAGGAAAAAAUGUGGCUGACACAUGGUGCAUAUUAACACCUGGGCUACAGCUUGCACGCAUAUGGUAGGUGUAGUUGAUAAAAUGGCCAAUGAGUGUAGUGAUAACUGAGUUUUGUUCAACAGAUAGCCCUGCUUUUGCUGGAAAAUGGUGCUGACCCUAAUGCCACAGAUAAACUAAGAUCCACACCUCUACACAGAGCCUCAGCAAAGGGGAACUAUCGCCUGAUCCAACUUCUCUUAAAACAGAGCGCUUCUACUAAUAUUCAGGACUCUGAGGGCAAUACACCACUCCAUCUUGCAUGUGAUGAGGAGCGAGCAGAAGCUGCAAAGCUCUUAGUCGAACAUGGUGCCAGCAUUUACAUUGAGAAUAAGGAAGAAAAGACACCUUUACAGAUUGCCAAAGGUGGACUUGGUAAUGUUCUUCGGAGGAUUGUCGAAGGCUGAAGUGAUUAUGAGAAGGUUUACGCAUCAGCUACUUCAGGCUGGUCAGUUCUACAGACAUGAGUUUCUGUCCCAGAAGAUGGCCAACAAAAUAUUUUCAUGAAUUAAAAGAAAGAAACAAGAGCCAAGACGCGUGUGUGUGUGUGUGUGUGUGUAGCCUGAAAAGUACAUGGUCAAUGUUUGUGAAAGAUUUUCUUCAUCUUUGUAUUGUGGUUUAAUAAAACAUUCACUUCUCUUCAAAUAACAUCUGACACAUGGGAUUUUAAUCUGUCUUUUUGUUUUGUUUUAUUUUUUAGGUGGCGCAAGUUUAACAUUUUGAAAUCUUAUACAUCAUUAGUUUAUAGAUAUUUAGUUCACAAUUAUGUUUCACAGGGAAAUGAUUAAAUACAGCUUAUAUUGUUUGCUUUUCAGACAUAACUAUACAAUAUGCUAUAGAACUUACAGAUAUGAAAAAAUGCUUGCAAUAAAUAUUUUAGGAAAAAAAAUCCUCGAGCAAUCACUUGAUGCUUAUUCAUGAAAAAUGUUUGCAGACUUGCUUUAGUAGACAGGUUUGUUGUCCAAAAAGAGGAAUUUGAAUUUGCACUGUUUGACCCAAGAGUUGUAAUAAACCCAGUUGUGGCAGCA